GGAACAUCACUGCUGGGAUUAGGUAAGUAAAUAAAGGGUUUAAAACUCUUUAUUUACUGGGUGGGAGGGGGCACGAGGGAGUUGGCAGAGGGAUCAGUAGUGCCAGUAUAUCAGCUUUGUAUUCCUGGCACUACAGUAUCCCCUAAACCUUUCCUUUUAAAUCAGAACAGUUGGGAGGCCUGAUUCAGCUCAGACAUGGUUAGUCACUAAAUUCCAAACUGAGUCAAUCUAAAACCCAAAUGACAAAACUAAAGCUAAAAUAGCCCAGCAUUGACUAUUGCUGAGUUGGGGAAGUUGGCUUUCUACAUCGGCUACUCUUCACUCAGUUUUGCUAUGCCGAUGCGUAUUUACUCCGACUCCUGUGACUAUAUCUGUGGUGUAGAGCUGUUCCAGAUCAGCUAUUAUAGCCUGCCUUUCACAAUUCAUAUCUUAAUUAAACACAAUUCGGAGCUUAGUGUACCACCCUGUCUGAUCGCAGUUUAGAGAAAUAACCCUGAAAGCUUGCAGUCACUAUAUGUCUACAUAGGUUUCCUUAUGUGUGCCAAUGAUGACUCCUGUGAAGGGAUGUGCCAAAACCGUGACCUUCAAUUGGUUUAUUGCAGCCAGGAGGAGGAUCCGAGGUGAUAAAUAGGAGCGGACUCGCCGCCUGCCAGUCAUUACGCGGAGUGAAAGGUUUGAGAUUGCAAGUGGUGACGUUUUACAUCCUGGUCGCCUACAUUCAGCCACGUCCCUUCCCCUGUUAGCAUGGCCGCCUCUAGAAUGUCGCUGAGGAUCUGGGACUCCUGGUUACUCUCGCUGCUGCUCUUGUCCUCUGUAUCGGGUCAGGAAACUGAUACCCCUGGU